UGAAGAACAACCUAUUAACCAAGAGAAAGUGGAAUGAAAGUGGAGCGCCAUUAUUAGAUUUUUUCAGCAGAGGCUGAGUGACCAUUUGCCUGGAAGAAGAUGGAGGAAAUAUCUUGAGUUGGUGAUAAGGAAAUUGCAAAAAAAGUCUGGAACUAGAAGUAGGUAUCCAUAUCCUCUUCUUCCUCAUCACCCUAUCAAAAGGCUUAGUUUGACUGGUCUACAAUAGGAAUAGAUGAAAGCAGCAAGGGAGAGAAUAUAGAAGUAAAAGAGGUCAAGAUGAUUUCCAUGGAAGACAUUCACAGUUUAAUAAGUUAAAGAAGGACAAGAAUGAACAACAUGGGAGACCAAAAAGGAAAAGUCAGAUAUGAAGGAGGAAAAUCAGAGAUCAGUGUUACAGAAACCAAAGAAGGAGGAAAUAUCCAGAAGUGACAUCGUUUGGUAAAAGCUAUUAUGUAUGGCAGAAAUAUGUGUAUGAAGACAGAAAAUAGGCCAUUGGUAAUUGUACAAGUCAGUUUUAGUAGAAUUAUGGCAUCAGAAAUCAAAUUUCCAUGAACUUUUUACAAUUAUUCCUCUCCAAAUUGAAAUGAAAUUUUUGGAAUCAAAUGUUGAUUUGGAGUCAAAUCUUAAGCUCUACCUUGGUUGAAUAUUUAAUUUGGCAAAGAUUUACCUCUUCCACCAAUUAGGGAAAUUGGGUUUAUUUCAGGUCAUUAGCAUGAAUCCAGAUGUGCACAAACUUGAUGUGAAAGGUACUUUGCCUUAUUAAGUCACUCUAAGGUACCGAGAUGGUAAAAUUUGGAUCACUAGGAUAUGUUAGCUAUUUCAAACUUUAGAAGGGCUGGCAUGUGGAAGAUAGAAGAAUGCAUUAAUACUGUAUAGCCCUAUAAAGCAGAUUUGAGAUUAAUGAGGAGAAAGUACAAUAAGACAGAUUUCUAUUCCACAUAAUGAAGCAUUUCCCAGUCAGAGUUUUCUAAGACCUGGAACAUACAAUGCAUGAGGAACUGAAUUCCUUAUUCUCCUGACUAAAAGCAUUCAAAUAAGGGCUGUUUGAGUCUGUCAGGGCUCCUACAGAAGAGGAUCCUGUAUUGGAUGAGAGAUUGAACUACAUGACCUAUAAGAGCCCUUCUAAUUCCAAGAAUCUAUGAUUUUAGCUAAUGAAAGCAUUUUCUUUCCUAAGCAGGAUAAUUUGCCAUCAUUUUCUUAAUUAAGGGGUUGAAACAUUUGUCUUACUCAAUGGUCAUCAAGUCCUUGUUACCUUUAUCAUGACUAAAGAUUCACAAAAGAAUCUCCUCUAGGAGAUAUCUUAUCAGUGCAACACAGUCCAAUCUUUAUUCCUAACAUUUAAAAAUCUUCAGGAAUGACUGGCCUUAUAUAUUAGUGGAGCAAAUUGUUGACUGAUUCACGUAAUUUGAGAAGUCUUGUUAAAAUUUCCUGUAGGAUUAUUUCUAUCAUAGUAUUUCCCAUU